UACAGGGGGUGCAAACGUUGCUCGGAAUUAUUGGGCGUAAAGCGCACGUAGGCGGUUACUUAAGUCGGAUGUGAAAGCCCUUGGCUCAACCGAGGAAGUGCACCCGAAACUGAGUAGCUUGAGUACGAAAGAGGGUCGCGGAAUUCCCGGUGUAGAGGUGAAAUUCGUAGAUAUCGGGAGGAACACCGGUGGCGAAGGCGGCGACCUGGGUCGAUACUGACGCUGAGGUGCGAAAGCGUGGGGAGCAAACAGG
rnacentral:rRNA from 1 species